rnacentral:rRNA from 1 species
UCCUGGCUCAGGAUGAACGCUAGCGGGAGGCUUAACACAUGCAAGUCGAGGGGCAGCAUAGGGUAGCAAUACUCUGAUGGCGACCGGCAAACGGGUGAGUAACGCGUAUGCAACCUACCCUGUACAGGGGGAUAACCCGGAGAAAUUCGGACUAAUAUCCCGUAAUAAUAUCCGGAGGCAUCUUUGGAUAUUUAAAGUUCCGACGGUACGGGAUGGGCAUGCGUAACAUUAGCUGGUUGGUAAGGUAACGGCUUACCAAGGCUAUGAUGUUUAGGGGUCCUGAGAGGGUGGUCCCCCACACUGGUACUGAGACACGGACCAGACUCCUACGGGAGGCAGCAGUGAGGAAUAUUGGUCAAUGGGCGCAAGCCUGAACCAGCCAUCCCGCGUGCAGGAAGACGGCCCUAUGGGUUGUAAACUGCUUUUCCAGGGAGAGAAACUUACGCACGUGUUGCGUGACUGACGGUACCCUGGGAAUAAGCAUCGGCUAACUCCGUGCCAGCAGCCGCGGUAAUACGGAGGAUGCAAGCGUUAUCCGGAUUCAUUGGGUUUAAAGGGUGCGUAGGCGGGCUAUUAAGUCAGUGGUGAAAUCCUGCAGCUUAACUGCAGAACUGCCGUUGAUACUGAUAGUCUUGAGUUUGGUUAAGGUAGGCGGAAUGUGUAAUGUAGCGGUGAAAUGCUUAGAUAUUACACAGAACACCAAUUGCGUAGGCAGCUUACUGAGCCGACACUGACGCUGAGGCACGAAAGCGUGGGGAUCAAACAGGAUUAGAUACCCUGGUAGUCCACGCCGUAAACGAUGAUUACUCGCUGUUGGCGAUACACUGUCAGCGGCUAAGCAAAAGCAAUAAGUAAUCCACCUGGGGAGUACGGCCGCAAGGUUGAAACUCAAAGGAAUUGACGGGGGCCCGCACAAGCGGAGGAACAU